GACGAACGCUGGCGGCGUGCUUAACACAUGCAAGUGGAGCGACGAAACGGGCUUCGGCCCGUGGCAAAGCCGCGAACGGGUGAGUAACACGUGGGUAACCUGCCCCGAUGACCGGGACAACCCGGGGAAACCCGGGCUAAUACCGGAUGUGGUACCUCCACAUGAGUGGAUGUACUAAAGGUAGCUUCGGCCUCCGCAUCGGGAUGGGCCCGCGGCGCAUUAGCUUGUUGGUGGGGUAAUGGCCUACCAAGGCGACGAUGCGUAGCUGGUCUGAGAGGACGAUCAGCCACACUGGGACUGAGACACGGCCCAGACUCCUACGGGAGGCAGCAGUGGGGAAUCUUGCGCAAUGGUCUAACGACUGACGCAGCGACGCCGCGUGUGGGAGGACGCCUC
rnacentral:rRNA from 1 species